CAGGACGAACGCUGGCGGCGUGCUUAACACAUGCAAGUCGAACGAUGAAGCCGCUUCGGUGGUGGAUUAGUGGCGAACGGGUGAGUAACACGUGGGCAAUCUGCCCUGCACUCUGGGACAAGCCCUGGAAACGGGGUCUAAUACCGGAUACGACCGUCUGAGGCAUCUCAGAAGGUGGAAAGCUCCGGCGGUGCAGGAUGAGCCCGCGGCCUAUCAGCUUGUUGGUGGGGUAAUGGCCUACCAAGGCGACGACGGGUAGCCGGCCUGAGAGGGCGACCGGCCACACUGGGACUGAGACACGGCCCAGACUCCUACGGGAGGCAGCAGUGGGGAAUAUUGCACAAUGGGCGAAAGCCUGAUGCAGCGACGCCGCGUGAGGGAUGACGGCCUUCGGGUUGUAAACCUCUUUCAGCAGGGAAGAAGCGAGAGUGACGGUACCUGCAGAAGAAGCACCGGCUAACUACGUGCCAGCAGCCGCGGUAAUACGUAGGGUGCGAGCGUUGUCCGGAAUUAUUGGGCGUAAAGAGCUCGUAGGCGGCUUGUCGCGUCGGAUGUGAAAGCCCGGGGCUUAACCCCGGGUCUGCAUUCGAUACGGGCAGGCUAGAGUUCGGUAGGGGAGAUCGGAAUUCCUGGUGUAGCGGUGAAAUGCGCAGAUAUCAGGAGGAACACCGGUGGCGAAGGCGGAUCUCUGGGCCGAUACUGAC
rnacentral:rRNA from 1 species